UCUCCAGUGGCGCAGUUGGUUAGCGCAUGGUACUUAUAUGACAGUAGUCAAGCAUAUCCAAUUAACGAUCAAUCUGUGGUUCAAAAAAUAAAGAAAUGCCGAGGUCGCGAGUUCGAGCCUCGCCUGGAGAA
rnacentral:tRNA from 1 species